rnacentral:rRNA from 1 species
GAGCACGUAGGUGGGUUUGUAAGUCAGAUGUGAAAGCCUUCUGUUCAACGGAAGAAUUGCAUCUGAAACUGCGAGUCUUGAGUGUAGGAGGGGAGAAUGGAACUUCUGGUGGAGCGGUGAAAUGCGUAGAUAUCAGAAGGAACGCCGGCGGCGAAAGCGAUUCUCUGGCCUAUUGCUGACACUCAGUGUGCGAAAGCUAGGGGAGCAAACGGGAUUAGAUACCCCGGUAGUCCUAGCCGUAAACGAUGGGCACUAAGUAGAGGGGUUUU